AUCUCUUGAUCGCAAUGAGAACAGGAAAUAAUAGAGCGAAUAGUGACUUUUUACAAGAUAGGUAGAAACUCUUCUGAAUUGUAUAUUAUAUCUCAGUUGUGAACCACUUUUACUCUAGAUAUCCCUUCUUUUAUUCCGACUAUACCUCCAUCUCUCCAAAACCCUAUUGAAUACCGGAAUUAAUUUACUGAAUAACGCAUAGGGACUCUUAUGAUACAUGUAAAAUACUACGAUAAUGACCCACUUCCCUCAUGACUUACGACUUGAAUAUAUGGAAUUUUCAACUGAAAUAGGUAGGGGUUUUAGCUCAACAAAAUAGGUAGGUUGCGAACAAAUGUUUUAAGAUGGUCUUGAUCUCUUAAUAUCAAUGAGAAUGGGAAAUAAAAGUGCGAAUAGCGACUUCUCAGCAUGUUAGGUCGGGACUCUUCUGAUAUUUAUAUGACUUAAUAGUUAUGAACCGCUUUCCCUCGAGACCGUCUCCCUUAUAUAUCAACUGUGCCUCUUUCUCCCCUAGAGUGAUAUGAAACCCGGAAUUAGGUUACUGAUGGACGGGUAGGGACUUUUAUGUUAUCUUAUAUGUAAUAUUGACCCACUUCCCCUCGUGACAUAAGACAAGGAGACAAUGGAUCAUCAGCGAUGUCUCGCCCAUUGAACACCAAUAAUAGUGAUAGGUACAAGUGUUUGGAUAUGGCUCAACAUGUUCCUUAUAAUAUGCAGACGAUACCAUACACUAUACCUUAAUUUUCUUAUAAUCUGUCAUUUUUCCUUGAUGUGAAUGAAAACUUCUCUAAAAUCUACCACAAAUGAAUGACGAAAUUAUUUCAAACAUAGGAGGCUGGGCUCAAGGUGACAUUCAUUUCCCAUUUUAAAUUAACAAAUUAAGAGUGUCAACCUUCUCAAGCAACGACUAAGAACGACUUUAUAACAUGGACCACAAAUCAAAAAUGCAUUCUCCAAGGAAUAUGGAUAGGAAAUAUACAAAAAGAUUAUAAAUAUAAAAUAUGUACAUGAGCAAAACUAUUGCCUCAUAUCGGAAAUAGAAAACCAAUUCAGUUCCAGUUUCAAAUGGAUAAAAUGAUUAAAAGAAAUUUUAUUAUACAGGGCACAUAAUGUGAAGAUGUCUUUUUUCAUGCACAAUGAAAUAACAAACAUCAACAAAUAACAAAAUCCCAUUCAGAUUUACAGAUUUAAAUUUUAUGUAUUUGCGCAGUUAAGUAACAAUUUUACGCACGUGCUCUAUACUUUAGGAAAUGUACAUAUUUACAUAUUUGUUACAUUUUAUGUAGGACCUGAAGAGUGGAACCCCACUAUCGGGAUAAAAACGGACUCACUGCUAUUUAUUUAUCCCUAUUAGUUCAAUAUCUACGGUCAAAAAUCCAAGAAUCAAAUACUCGCAUCUAACGUAUAUGUUUGCAAUUAUAAUCGUACCUAAGAGCAAGUAAAACAUUACAAUACGUAACUUUAACACCACUAAUUGCACAACGCAUACUGUACACUCUUUAUGAAUGGCAUAAAUCUUCUGCUGACAAAAGGGAAAACUGAACAUCUCGGAUAGUGACGAAAAGUGGCAGUAAAAACGGCAAUAAUAAACGCUAGUUUUUUUUAACACAAGCAUCUUAGUUUUAUAGUAUUUCAACCUGAACACGCUUAAAUAAUACUGAUCUAUUUAGAACCACUACUACUUUUUUUUUAAACGAAUCUUUUUUUUUAGUUGUCAUUCUAAUACCGAAAAGUUAGCUCGUGUCUUCUCCUCUCUUUAUGUAAUAGGUAUAAUUUAUAGGACAUAAUUUGAUAAAUAUUUGAUAAUCUACUACCAACAAAUUCUUAUCUGCUAGUUACAAAUGAUAUUUAAUACCUACAAUAUGUAUUGGUUGACCAAAUUAGUUACACACGAAACUUAAACAUAACAUUAUUAAUGGAUUUAUUGACUGUCAGUUACUCACUGUAUGAUUUCUGAAAAUUAUUUGUUUGAAAUGCAUUUAAUUGGUAUGCAAUAGACCUUGGCUGUACUCCGAAUUUGUCAUUUGUCUUUUCCACAAGACUUUUUCAACAAACAAGUCCAAACAGCUAAGAUUAUGAAAUCUUAGAGCUUGCUUCUAAUGACCCAAUAUACAUCCGACAAUAUAUUCUCAAAUGGUAAAUUAAAUCCUGACAAGACAAGUCCAAUUUAAAAAAUGUAUCACCUCCGCUCACCAAACUAUGACUUGAUACAACUGAUAAUAUAAAAUUCUUUGGAAUUACGUACUUCUCUAAGACGUUCAAACGAGUAAAAUUUUACAUGUGACGAGGCAUUUGAAAAAAGCUUUCCGGGUGAUUGCCAUUUCAGUAAAUGAAUAUAAAUUAAUGAAUGUCGUCCAUGACGAUUUUGAAAGCAUAACUACUUGGGCAUCGAUAUUAUUUUAUGAAUAAUUAACAAGACAAUACAAAUUACUCGGGGAUCUGGAAAUAUCUACAUUUAUAAAUGGAAACGUACGUUUGUUUAGAAAUUAGGAAUGUAUCUGAUCAUUAUGUUUUAUUGAGUAUGAAGCUAGCUUACACUAAAAGCGUUAAUCUUCUUCGCCUAUUACUUGGGGUUUCUUGAACGUCGUGUUGUAUCUUUUCUCUAAGCUAUGUACGUGUAUACUUUUCUCAAGCUAUCCUUUUCCCAAACCUACGUGAAUACCUUUAUUCCACUAUUGCUUUACCAUUAUCCUAUUGACAAUCUCUUCUGAUUUCAU